rnacentral:rRNA from 1 species
AUUGAACGCUGGCGGCAUGCUUUACACAUGCAAGUCGAACGGGGUGGAGGGGCAACUCUCCAUUCAGUGGCGAACGGGUGAGUAAUGCAUCGGAACGUGUCCCGUAGUGGGGGAUAACCC